rnacentral:rRNA from 1 species
GAUGAACGCUGGCGGCGUGCCUAACACAUGCAAGUCGAGCGAUUUACUUCGGUAAAGAGCGGCGGACGGGUGAGUAACGCGUGGGUAACCUGCCCUGUACACACGGAUAACAUACCGAAAGGUAUGCUAAUACGAGAUAAUAUACUUUUAUCGCAUGGUAGAAGUAUCAAAGCUCUGGCGGUACAGGAUGGACCCGCGUCUGAUUAGCUAGUGGGUAAGGUAACGGCUUACCAAGGCGACGAUCAGUAGCCGACCUGAGAGGGUGAUCGGCCACAUUGGAACUGAGACACGGUCCAAACUCCUACGGGAGGCAGCAGUGGGGAAUAUUGCACAAUGGGCGAAAGCCUGAUGCAGCAACGCCGCGUGAGCGAUGAAGGCCUUCGGGUCGUAAAGCUCUGUCCUCAAGGAAGAUAAUGACGGUACUUGAGGAGGAAGCCCCGGCUAACUACGUGCCAGCAGCCGCUGUAACAC